AAUGGGGCAUUGUAUGGCAGACAUUCGUUAUGUCCUCGAUUGGAGAAGCUUCUGAACCGUAACUAACAUCAAGAGGUGUAUCAAAAGAUGUCCCAUAGAUGUUAUAUAAGGGGAUCCCUUUAGGUAAUUGAGCAUCAUUUAAAAUUUUGCGAGUACUAGCUGCCCAAUCAAGAAUUGAUAAGUUGAAAGGUAGAGGCACUGUUUUACCAUUUAAGUUGAGCUCAUUGCACUUCAAUGCUUCCUCAAAGAGAGUCACACUUGUGCUGGCAUCAUAGCGUUCUAAUUUAACCACUGUAUUCCCAUCCUUGGAUUUUUUCCGCCACACCAGAAUUUCAGGUUGCUUUUCCCACUUGAAGUCAGGAUUUGGCAACAUCUCAUAGAUUGAUGGGCACUCAAUCAACAAUUGAUGAACUGUCCACCUUGACACAAAAAAAGUUGCUUUCAAAUCCAUCAACGAACUGCACUCCAGUUAAAAGAGAAUCAUG
rnacentral:misc_RNA from 1 species